AAAUAACCAGCAGCAAAAGAAAACAAAAGGACAACUGAAUGGAAGAAUAUUUAGGAGUAUGAAUGAGUCAAACUACGCAUGUCUACUAAUUUACUACAUAAACACUGACAAAAAUGAAGUUCCCCUGUGCCUUGUCUGUGGAAUAAACAAAAAUAUCAGUAAUACAAUGAAGAAAAUAAAGAAAUAAUGAAAAAAUAAAGAAAGGAUGAGGAAAGAGUCAACAAAAA
rnacentral:misc_RNA from 1 species